ACUGUGACUGUAGGCAUGCGUCACCACGCCCAGUUCUAAGGAUUAAAAUAUUUUUCACUUGUUAUUUGGAGUGAAUGGAGCUACACGGUAUAGGAUUUCUUCAACAAACUUGAAAUCAAACCAUGAUGGUGCAUUAUUGGUCUCAAGAAUAAAACACCCCACCACCCGCUGAGCAUUUUCAAAGCCCCAGGUGUCACAUCUGACUUGUCUGUUCACAUUCAGUUGCUAAGAAUCCUGCCAAGAAGGUUCUUCUACUGCCCCGCCCCGCUUACAGACAAGGAUGUUGAGACUCAGAGAUGGCAGGGGAUUUGCCCAAGGCUGCACAAUUCCCACCAACAAAUGGACUCAGAACUAAAACCUUGGGCUCCAAACAGCAUGUUCUCCGGCCUCCCCGGCACCAGCCAUGUGAAGGAAGGUCGCAGGAGCCGGGACCUGCAGGGACCAGCGACCUCCCCACAGGCCAGACUAGCUCUGUCUAUUGUACAGACAGGGAGUGGUCUGCCCACCCCUGAAUGUGAUCAGGACUCUCCCCGGGGCCCUGGGAGUCAUUUCCUGUCAUCAGAAGCCCGAGGCCCUGUGAGCCACGUCCACCCAAAGCCACCAUGCCAAAUCGGAACUCCGAAGAUGAACAAAGGUUCUGCUGAAAGGCUUGGAUAGUCGCCAAGCCAAGCCAAGCCAAAUUUAGGGAAGCAAGAAGACAAAGCCUUGCUGUGAGCCCCUCCCACUGGCCCUCUCGUGGCUCCUCCCACUGCUAGGGAGGGGCCAAUUCUGUUUAACCAUUUGCUGUGUGCCAGCCAGUAAGCACCUGUGGUACAACCAUAGCAUGGGCCUUGCUUGCAGGCAAGGAGUCUUGUGUUCAAAUUCUGAAGCUUCUCAACUGUCUGAAUGUGAGCUGAUGACCUGACUUCUCAGAUCCUGUUUCCGUGUAGGGAAGAGUGUCAGAAGAGUAUCCAGCAGCUGGGUCAUGGUGUGAGGAUGCCCUACAGUCACUGGCCCUUAAUGGUGGCAUCCUGACAGUUGUAGAUACUUAAAGGCAAGUUGCACAGACAUCAGACCCCAAAGACCUUCCUGUUGGCCCAGAAGAACGACCUCGUACAUGGAGAAACUGAGGCCUAGAAGUAGGGAGAAAAAGCCCUCAGCUGGUGAUGGGACAGAAAUGGAAGUUUGUGAAGCUGAGAAGAGCGAGGACAGUGUGUGAAAGCUGUGAUCUGAGCUCCUGUAACCCAGCCGGAAGCUCUGGGGCUUCAGAGGUAGAGCCGCCCGCGUUCAAAUCCCAAGUGUCUGGAGGCCAGAACUCUCUGUUCUGUGUAUGUGCUGUCAACCCAAGAGGCUAUUCUGUUCAACUCUGUGACAAUCAUCGGCUCUGUGCCUGUGGCCACUGUCUGUUCUCUGGUCCCUUCCCUGAGGCCUGGGCCUUGAAGAAGCCUGCUUCCACUGGGGACAGGCCAGGGCCUCUGACUCAGCUCUUCUGCACCCUGCCCUCCUUCUGCUGGCCUGGUAACUGCUGGAGGCAACGAUGAAGAUGACGAAGCACUAACCGCCAGCUCACACAGACUCUGCCAAGUUGCAGCCUCUGAAUUUACUCUGUCAUUCUGUCUACCCCAUUGUUGUUUUGCAUCUGUUCAGUAAAUGACUCGAGAUGCUAUAUAAUAAAAUCAACAUUGUGUGGGAUGAUUUUGCCUAACAGCAGGCCAGUUUCAGGGAAGCGGGGCUCGGCUGUAACGUUUGGUAGGUCAGGCAUAUUGACCCAGUGCAUUUCGGCUUGGGAUACUUGGGAUUUAUGAUGGGGUCUCUGGGGCCCUCCUCUCACAGUAAGCCAAGGAGCACCUGUGUAGUCUGGACUUGGUGUCAACCACCCUUCUCAGCAACUCACUUAUGCCAACUCCUUUAGGCAGGAACUUUAUUACCACCACUGUAUGGAUAGACAAACUGAAAUUCAGAGAGGUUCCUAAGUCUGUGGCCACACCACCCUGAACAUGCCCUGUCAGGUGAUGUGCCUGAGGCCAAACACCCUGAAAAUGACAGAGCAAAGGGUGCCAGAGUCCUGGGAGCAGGAUGCCAAUCCCUGCUCAGACGUUUCCUGACAGGGCUCUACCCUUCUCUGAGUCUCAGUCUGCUCUUCUCUAAAAUGUUCUGAAAAUGAUGUUACCGGAGCCCUGGGAGAAGCCAUGGAGUGAGCCACACAGCCUGUGCAAGUUGCACAGCUGAGCCUUGUCACUCACUUUGACGUUUAGGGAAAUGGGGCUCCUCAGAAUCCAUGUUCUGAAAAGGGGUGCAGGCC